rnacentral:rRNA from 1 species
UACGAACCGUACAAACGUUAUUCGGAAUCACUGGGCUUAAAGCGUGCGUAGGCGGCUCAGAAAGUUGGGUGUGAAAGCCCUCGGCUCAACCGAGGAAUUGCGCUCAAAACUACUGAGCUUGAGGGAGAUAGGGGAGAGCGGAACUGAUGGUGGAGCGGUGAAAUGCGUUGAUAUCAUCAGGAACACCGGUGGCGAAGGCGGCUCUCUGGAUCUCUUCUGACGCUGAGGCACGAAAGCUAGGGGAGCAAACGGG